rnacentral:lncRNA from 1 species
CGGGGGCAGCCGAGACGGGGCACUCUUGGGCCUGGGGGGCGGCGAUGUGUUGGGGCUCCGCAGCCCCCGUGCAGGACGUCCUGACACACGUGGAGGCCGCUGGUGCCAAGUCUGUCUGUCCGCAUAAACGGCUCCUUCAUAGGCAGCACACUGAGCUUUGGCAGCCCGGUGCACAGACAGAAAUAUACCCACCAGGCACUUCAUUCUCCCCCGUCAUUGCCUUGAGAACAUGAGAAAACUGCAGCGAAUCUCUUCCUCGUCCUGCUUUCCCUCUCUGUCCCGCAGGACCUGAACAGAACGUAGCAGGACACGUUUCAGACCAACCAACUAUUGAACCGAGCACUCUUUUUGCUGAAGUCCAUCCAGACAGACUACGGAAAGGGGAUGGAGAGCGGAAGAAAAGAGAACGGGAGGGGGAGCCCCAAAGGCUCUGUCCUUGCAGUGACUUCGUGCCCCCCGUGCCGCUCCGUUUUGCUCACCCACCUGCUCCUGGUGCUCGCCACGGAGCAGCAGCAAACUUAGAGCAAGUUGUGGCCAUCAGGAGGAAGAGUAUGAGGCGGGCAGAGGCCAUAGCUCCCCACACUCGUCCCAUGCUGUCACCAGCAUGACUACAGCCACAGCAAGUUGAUGACAUGGCAGGCACAGAGCAGUGCCUGUGACACCACGGGACAGCGUCACAGAGGGGCACUGUGAGCUCAGGGCAGAGGGGCUGACCCCAGCGCUCACGGAACCCCCCACUGCCACUCUCGAGCUGCCACGGCAG